UCUUGCACUCACCCUUCUUUCUCUCCCUUUCCUUUUUCUCCAUCUCUUCAUCAAUCUUCAUUCGCUCCUCAAAACAGGAACACUGAAUCGUGAUUCCCGAUAUAGGUUCGACACAAAACUCCAAUCCACCGAUUCUUUCCGCCGUCGCCACCACGUGCGUCACCUCCGUCACCACCUGGUAUAUUCGUUUUCUUUUUGUUUUCUCCAUAUUCCACAUAUCCGUUACCGUAAUCUUUCGCAAAUGAGAGUGUUAUUUCUGAAAGAAAAUGCAAGAGGCAGUCUUGGAGGGAGUACCUACGGGACCAAGGGUGACACUCUUCUCCAAAUGAAAUUUGCUUACAACCAUUUGGCUCCCCUCUUUCUGAUGUUGCUACAGUGGAUGGAUUUUUCUUGUACAUGCUUAUUACUCAGAUAUCUUGACAUCUUUCACAUAGACAUAGUUGUAUACAAGGUACACAUAUGGUAGAUCAAAUAUGACUUCUCAUAGAAGGAAGGCAACCAUCAGGAAGUUCUAAGAUGUUUAUCUCGGCCCAACCGUGGAGGAUAGAUGGUUGGGAUCAUCUCGGCCCAAGCAGGGUCCGGUUUCGCCUUGGCUCAGUUGCUGGGGUGCCCCAUUUUUCAGGUACAACAAAACAUAGAGCGCAAAAGGGACAUGGGAAGGCAAAGAAGGCUGGAUAUAUCUCAGCCCUUUUGGUCAUGUAUAUCCCGGCCUAAUAGUGUGAUGGAUGGAAAAUGGGACCAUUUUGCAGAGGUACAGAGGAGCAGCGCGCAAACUCAUUAAGUAAAGAAAGAACUAAUCCUUGACAGGGUACAAACGAACAAAUCUCAGCAAAAAAGGAAAGAGUUGAUGUUUGUCGACGUACAUUCAAACAAAUCUCAGCCAAAAAGGAAAGAGUUGAUGUUGGGCGAAGUAUAGACGAACAAAUCUUAGCCAAAAAGGAAAGAGUUGAUCUUUGACAAAAUGCAGGCCAGGCACAUAAUCUCAGUCAAUAAGAAAAGAAUCGACGCGUACAACCUUAGUCAGAAAGGUAAGAGUUGAUCCUCGAAUACAAACGGCCCGCAAAUAAUAAUAACAGGUUCAUCAAGAGAUUAUUAUAAAUUAUGGUUUAGUGAACACGUAAAGGUAUGUUUUCUCACUUAACUACAUACACCUCAUAUCAAAUCACUAUUUGACUUGAGUGUCAAAGUGACUACAGGUAACCCCACCCUUAGAGUUCAUACAGCAAGCAGAUCUAAGAGAAGUCCAGAGAGGAAUAGAAGGAGCUUUGACACAG